rnacentral:rRNA from 1 species
GUCGAACGAAAAGAGGGAAAGAGCUUGCUCUUUCCGGAAUUGAGUGGCAAACGGGUGAGUAACACGUAAACAACCUGCCUUCAGGAUGGGGACAACAGACGGAAACGACUGCUAAUACCGAAUAAGUUCCAAGAGCCGCAUGGCCCAUGGAAGAAAAGGUGGCCUCUACCUGUAAGCUAUCGCCUGAAGAGGGGUUUGCGUCUGAUUAGCUGGUUGGAGGGGUAACGGCCCACCAAGGCGACGAUCAGUAGCCGGUCUGAGAGGAUGAACGGCCACACUGGAACUGAGACACGGUCCAGACUCCUACGGGAGGCAGCAGUGGGGAAUCUUCCGCAAUGGGCGAAAGCCUGACGGAGCAACGCCGCGUGAGUGAUGACGGCCUUCGGGUUGUAAAACUCUGUGAUCCGGGACGAAAAGGCAGAGUGCGAAGAACAAACUGCAUUGACGGUACCGGAAAAGCAAGCCACGGCUAACUACGUGCCAGCAGCCGCGGUAAUACGUAGGUGGCAAGCGUUGUCCGGAAUUAUUGGGCGUAAAGCGCGCGCAGGCGGCUUCCCAAGUCCCUCUUAAAAGUGCGGGGCUUAACCCCGUGAUGGGAAGGAAACUGGGAAGCUGGAGUAUCGGAGAGGAAAGUGGAAUUCCUAGUGUAGCGGUGAAAUGCGUAGAGAUUAGGAAGAACACCGGUGGCGAAGGCGACUUUCUGGACGAAAACUGACGCUGAGGCGCGAAAGCGUGGGGAGCAAACAGGAUUAGAUACCCUGGUAGUCCACGCCGUAAACGAUGGAUACUAG